UGUUGUGUUUGGUUGGGGUGAAUGAUUCCGGAAGGAAUGGAAUGAAAAAUGAACUAUCUUAUGGAUGAUUUUUAAGAAAUUUCAUUCCUUCCUCCAUUCCAUUCCCUACAUCAUAUGCUAGAUAUCAUCCCUUCCAUUUGAGAUGGAAUGCUCCAUUCUCUCCCAUCCUCAAUUUCUUCUCAAAUCUCAUCAUAACAAUUUUGCACUCCUUCAA
rnacentral:lncRNA from 1 species